rnacentral:lncRNA from 1 species
UUAGGAUUGUUUCAUGCCUAAAAGCGGCAGUAUUAUUCAAUUACAUUAAAGCUUGCUAAUAUUUAUUAGGAACCAUAUACAAGACAAGAAUUCAAGAUCAAGAAAUGAAGUUAAAUUGACAUUAGAACAAUAACUGGAUACAAGGUAAGAAGGUCCUAACUAAACCACAAGAAAUAAGUUGUCAAGAUUAAAGAUCCCCUCAACCUCAACUCCUAUAUAUACUAGGUCCUAAGAAACUUCUUGAGAAGUUUUCUUGACGCUUGGAAAU